GCUAAGAUGCACCAAUUCCCAUCCAUUGGAUCAAAAUGUGUCUACUUGAUCCUAACCAUUCAUUCUUCUAUAAAUAAGCAUGCAAGGCUCCUUGUUUUCCACACAAAUCCUAGACAACUUUCUUGAAAGCUUUGUGCUUUGGUUUUCUCUCCCUUUUUCUCUCCUUCUACCACACAACCACUUUGGUGUCCUUGAAGUCAUUUUUUCUCUCCAAAUCAAAUUGAAAAGGAGCUAAGAAAUUACACGAAGGAGGGUGUGAGGCAAAGGGCGUAAACGGGUUCGGAUAACCUAGAACGAGAGGUCUGAAGAAAGAUGAUCAUAAAAUACCAAACUAAAUGUUACUGAUGCAGAUCUGAAGAAUGAAGGCAUGGACCCAUAUGCCAGUUUUGAUGGUUUUUGAAACCAUUUUUGAAGUAAUAUGUGCUAGCUUAGAAAUUGCUAGGCAUAUUUAUGUGUGUUUUAUUUCAAGGCUUGUAAUAAUUAUGACGAUGUUUUGU